CUUGGGUCAGCACAGCGGCAACCAAAAAAAAUCUUAUACUAACAAAGUGAAAUUACCAAAAGCGCCCUCCCGUAGUGCCGCUGCCCCACGCCUGAAAGCGCACGGCGAGAGGGGGGAAAGGGGCAGAGGAAACAGAGGAGAGAAAAUAGGCUCCUCGCGGCUCGCCAAGGCCGUGUUCUGCAGCCAGCCACCGUCACUCUUCGCCGCCGUGAUCCGCCCGGGUUCCGCCGUGCCGGGGCUGCUUGAGAGAGCGAGGGAGUCGCUCUGGCCUCGCCGCCUCCUCCGGCAAAUAUUUUCCUCUGAUCCUGCCCUCUCCGUGGCUUGGGUCUCAGGGACCAAACCAUCCCGCCGCGGCUUGCUGGCGAGCUGAAGACGUUGAUUGCCCAUCACUGGAGCUUACCAAUGUCGGCCGGUGCCACUAUAAACUGGAUCAGAACCCCAUUUCAAGCCCAGAGAUUUCAUGACUUCUCAAGUUUAAGUUUUAGAUGCCGAAACACUUUUGGAUCAAUUCAGCCUUGCUGGUUGGCAACUGAUCAGGAUUCAUCCCUCUCCAAAGUCCGUGUGGCUGCAGACUACUCAGAUUCAGUGCCAGAUUCCAAGUACAUGAGAGAUCGAGGAUACCAUCCUCUUGAAGAAAUCAAAGAACGCCCAAAGAAAAAAGACAUUUCACUGACGGAUGUAGAAACAGCUAGAACAGUAGUAGAGGCAAAUAGCAAGGGAUUGCUCGUAUUUCCUGCCAGGGUGCAUAAUGAACCUCAUGGACAUGUUUCUUGGUCAGAGUUUCAGUAUGUUGUUGAUGACUAUGGAGACAUUUUCUUUCAAGUACCUGAUGAUGGGAACAUCUUGGAAGAUGAUGAUGCAAACAACCCUGUGACAGUUUUGAUCGGAACGGAUGGUGCCAUUAUCGGUGAAACUAGUGCGGUAACUAGUGAUUUCAGCGACCACGUGGUCGUUGAGGAUUCUAUGGACAUGCAUGAUAACGACAGCAAGGUUGACACAGAAAUAACGGAUAUUCUUAUAGAGUGGGGAAUGCCAGUGACGAUGCGUUCAAUACAUCCUAUAUAUUUUGCCAAGUGUUUGACAAAGGCUGUUCAUGAUAAUCAUGGGGAGAAGAUUGAUAAUCCAUCAAACGGUGUAUCUAUUGUAGGAUACCUGAGACCUGCUUUUAUAGAAGAAGAGUCUUAUUUGAGGAGUUUAUUUGGUGCUGAAUGCAGUGCCGAUGGUUAUUCAUCUAAUUGGAGAGAGGAAUACAACAGAGAACCCCAGCCAGCUUCUGGAACCAAUGGCCUAAUUGAUGGUGAUAAAUCGAGAUUGGACAUCAACAAUACGGAAAGUAGCAUUGAUUCAACCAUCUACAAGCUGGAAAUGAUGUCAAUUGAGCUGUUUUCCGUCUAUGGUAAGCAGUUUAUGAUUGAUCCACAAGACUUUCAAGAUGCAGAACCAGAUCUUCUUUCAAAUCAUGCUUCAGACAUUAUAAAACGCGUCAAAGAAAACAGUGAUCAGUGUACCAUGGCUCUAAGGUCCCUCUGUAGCCGGAAAAAAGGCCUUACAGUAGAGGAUGCAAGUUUGAUAGGUGUCGAUAGUCUUGGUAUCGACGUCAGAGCCUUUUCUGGCUUGGCAGCUCGGACAGUUCGAUUUUCAUUCAAUGCCCAGGCGUUAUCUGAACGUUCAGCCGAAAAGAAGAUCAAGCGAAUGCUUUUUCCGCGUUAUCGCAAGACUGUGAAAGCUUCCACUGAAGAUGAAUGUUAGCCAACUUAUUUAAUUUUAGCUUCGAACGCCUAACAGUAAACUGGUGAGGACAAAGGGUGUGCAGGGAACUCCACAGAAGAUGUGCACCCAGUCAGCUCCCAAUUCGUUUGGAGAAGCUAACACCCGUCGACAUGAAAUGACCUCAAGUGCUAGAGUGCUUGAUCGAGGUUUUGGCUUCGUCAGCUGUAGAAGGCCGACCACCCAUGGUUUCUGACAAAUAAGGUGGUGGCCAUGUAUAGAGGAGCAUCCUUGGACGGGAUGCGAGGUGAUUCGUUGUCAGUUAAAACUGCAGCUGAUCAGCCAUAUAGCCUAUAAGUUUCCCUCUAAACAAAAUAAGGUGCAGGAGACGCAGGAUGCAAAGUGACAGCUCUUUGGCCUGAAUAAACAACGUCUUAGUUUACUGCAAACAUGUAACUAAGUCGCUCUCAUUCGUUUCCUUUCCAUUCUGAAUAAAGUGCAAUUCUAUUUCUAUCUAUUGACAACAUGCCCCGCCGCGCUGUCGAAACCUCGAUGGUGUCGCGGCAAUAAAGUAUUAAUUUGCUGUUAAGUGUGAAAAGACAUCAGACAUGAAACAUGCUUAUCGUGCAGAGCGGGAUGUAACUGGG
rnacentral:rRNA from 1 species